rfam:Lachnospiraceae bacterium 2_1_46FAA genomic scaffold aclXT-supercont-complete, whole genome shotgun sequence.
AAGAACAAGAAGGGGAGCCGCAAGGCUGAGAGGAAGAUUAUGCUUCGACCCUUAUACCUGAUUUGGAUAAUGCCAACGUAGGAAUCUUUUGGGACUUCUUU